rnacentral:tRNA from 1 species
CAGGAAGUGGCGCAGUCUGGUUAGCGUAUCUGUUUUGGGAACAGAAUGUCAGGGGUUCGAAUCCCUUUUUCCUGU